rnacentral:rRNA from 1 species
GCAUCGAUGAAGAACGCAGCGAAAUGCGAUAAGUAAUGUGAAUUGCAGAAUUCAGUGAAUCAUCGAAUCUUUGAACGCACCUUGCGCUCCAUGGUAUUCCGUGGAGCAUGCCUGUUUGAGUGUCAUGAAUACUUCAACCCUCCUCUUUCUUAAUGAUUGAAGAGGUGUUUGGUUUCUGAGCGCUGCUGGCCUUUACAGUCUAGCUCGUUCGUAAUGCAUUAGCAUCCGCAAUCGAACUUCGGAUUGACUUGGCGUAAUAGACUAUUCGCUGAGGAAUUCUAGUCUUCGGAUUAGAGCCGGGUUGGGUUAAAGGAAGCUUCUAAUCAGAAUGUCUACAUUUUAAGAUUAGAUCUCAAAUCAGGUAGGACUACCCGCUGAACUUAAGCAUAUCAAUAAGCGGAGGA